GAUGAACGCUGGCGGCGUGCCUAAUACAUGCAAGUCGAGCGAACGGACGAGAAGCUUGCUUCUCUGAUGUUAGCGGCGGACGGGUGAGUAACACGUGGAUAACCUACCUAUAAGACUGGGAUAACUUCGGGAAACCGGAGCUAAUACCGGAUAAUAUUUUGAACCGCAUGGUUCAAAAGUGAAAGACGGUCUUGCUGUCACUUAUAGAUGGAUCCGCGCUGCAUUAGCUAGUUGGUAAGGUAACGGCUUACCAAGGCAACGAUGCAUAGCCGACCUGAGAGGGUGAUCGGCCACACUGGAACUGAGACACGGUCCAGACUCCUACGGGAGGCAGCAGUAGGGAAUCUUCCGCAAUGGGCGAAAGCCUGACGGAGCAACGCCGCGUGAGUGAUGAAGGUCUUCGGAUCGUGAAACUCUGUUAUUAGGGAAGAACAUAUGUGUAAGUAACUGUGCACAUCUUGACGGUACCUAAUCAGAAAGCCACGGCUAACUACGUGCCAGCAGCCGCGGUAAUACGUAGGUGGCAAGCGUUAUCCGGAAUUAUUGGGCGUAAAGCGCGCGUAGGCGGUUUUUUAAGUCUGAUGUGAAAGCCCACGGCUCAACCGUGGAGGGUCAUUGGAAACUGGAAAACUUGAGUGCAGAAGAGGAAAGUGGAAUUCCAUGUGUAGCGGUGAAAUGCGCAGAGAUAUGGAGGAACACCAGUGGCGAAGGCGACUUUCUGGUCUGUAACUGACGCUGAUGUGCGAAAGCGUGGGGAUCAAACAGGAUUAGAUACCCUGGUAGUCCACGCCGUAAACGAUGAGUGCUAAGUGUUAGGGGGUUUCCGCCCCUUAGUGCUGCAGCUAACGCAUUAAGCACUCCGCCUGGGGAGUACGACCGCAAGGUUGAAACUCAAAGGAAUUGACGGGGACCCGCACAAGCGGUGGAGCAUGUGGUUUAAUUCGAAGCAACGCGAAGAACCUUACCAAAUCUUGACAUCCUUUGACAACUCUAGAGACAGAGCUUUCCCCUUCGGGGGACAAAGUGACAGGUGGUGCAUGGUUGUCGUCAGCUCGUGUCGUGAGAUGUUGGGUUAAGUCCCGCAACGAGCGCAACCCUUAAGCUUAGUUGCCAUCAUUAAGUUGGGCACUCUAAGUUGACUGCCGGUGACAAACCGGAGGAAGGUGGGGAUGACGUCAAAUCAUCAUGCCCCUUAUGAUUUGGGCUACACACGUGCUACAAUGGACAAUACAAAGGGCAGCGAAACCGCGAGGUCAAGCAAAUCCCAUAAAGUUGUUCUCAGUUCGGAUUGUAGUCUGCAACUCGACUACAUGAAGCUGGAAUCGCUAGUAAUCGUAGAUCAGCAUGCUACGGUGAAUACGUUCCCGGGUCU
rnacentral:rRNA from 1 species